rnacentral:rRNA from 1 species
CAACCGAGACUCCCGUAGUAGUGGCGAGCGAACCGGGACCAGGCCAGUGCUGUCGUGACAUAAAGCUGAAUGUACUGGGAAGUACAGCCAUAGUGGGUGAUAGCCCCGUAAGCGUCAAAUAGCGACAGACUCGAGUAGGGCGGGACACGUGAAAUCCUGUCUGAACAUGGGGGGACCACCCUCCAAGCCUAAAUACUCGUACAUGACCGAUAGCGAACACAGUACCGUGAGGGAAAGGUGAAAAGCACCCCGAUUAGGGGAGUGAAACAGUACCUGAAACCGG